GGGGAGAUCGAACCUUUCGAUUGUAACUGGGACAAUUUGCAUAGUGAUUCCCUUUCAGAGCUUUCUCGGGCCCAUAACAAGCGCAGGCAGCUAUUCAAAUGCAAGUUGCGUCCCCAAUUGCGCCGCUGGCCUGAGCUAAAGGAGCAGCUCCUCACUGUUCGAGACGAGACCAGCGUUGGGGUUCUGGGUCACCUCUUUUCUCCCGGCUUUUCCCUUGCUCUCUGGUUCCUGAAUUAGCUGUUUGUUUAUGGCUCCAGACGUGUGUGUGCCAGCGAGCCGAGGCAACGCGCGAGGGAGGGAAUUGAUCUUUCCCCAGACUCAAAGCUGGAGCCGAAGAAGUGCGGGGGAUUUGGGGGUUCUGAGUGGGACUCAGACCCUGGGUGCUGAGGGGAAGCCCGUGGGCUCUCUGGCCCGCUUCUCUAACCUCAGCGACCUUGCAGGAAUCCUCAGGCCUGAGAGCGCCCAGGCUCUGGGCUUUGCAGAAAGUGGCGGCGGCUGUGUCCCGGGUUUUAAAAUCUACGCAAAGAAAGGAGGCAAAGCUGAAAGCUUGUCGCGUGUCAGAAGCAACCUGCCGUGAAAUCCGCUAAUGCGCCCCGACUCGCCCUUCGCGCAUGUAGCCACAGCAAAUUAUUGCUCAUUUGAUACCCAGAAUUCUAUUGACCAUGGCUUUUGUCGGAGAGAGAAUUCUAACUACUGCUGCUCUGGGCUCAGAGCUGAGGCUGGAAACAAGUAAAUCUAGCAAGAAUAGAUGGAGAGGUGCUGGUGACUGGAGCCACGUGGCCUUGCAUAGAAACCUGCCUUUUACUCUGCCUGCCUUGCUCCAGUUCAGGAAAAAGGUCGGCCCCUUUGGAACAGAUUUGCUUACUUGGAAGGCUGGGUAUUCAUUUGGCAAGUUCUUUCCAGCUCUAGCCAGGCUAGGGGAGAAAAUGAGACAAUGGAAGAUUGCUCCACAGGCUUUUGGUCAAAGCUAACCCAAGGCAGGAAAUACUUGAAGAUCACGUCCUAAAUUUCAACCCCACCCCGACCCCUUCAAGACUCUAGGGCAUCACAGAGCUGCUAGAGUGGAGAAAGAAUGCUGAGAUCUGAGUCUGGUUGUCAGUGGGCACCCAGCCUCCACAACAGGAACCACAGCCAUAGUGUCAAACUGUGUGAAGAAGGAGCCUGAAGAUUCACAGCUCCAGGUUGCUGGAGAGAGUUAGUCCCUAAAUGAGGCUGGAGAAGUGGGCAAUGAGAAAGAUCAGGUGAGUUCCCCAGGAAGCCAGUCACAGAAUCUGCAUUCCUGUUGCAAGAAGCUGAUGCUGGAGACCCAAAGACUUGACCUGCCGAAGGGUACCUACCCAUCUCCCUCCUGGCCUAGUCAGGGACCUCCACCUCACCUCCUCACUGCCUCCAUCUGGGAGAAAGUCACCUCGACUUUCAAGACUAAAUGAAUCAGAUCACAGAACCUGUCAGAUUUCCAAGGAACAAGCAACCCAUACCCUUCCCCGAAACCCUAACACGGAGAAAGUCCAUGGAAGGGAUGGCUGGCAGAGCUUUCAUUUCAACAAGUACUGGGAGCUAAACCUUCUAGGCCGGUUUCCAGAGCAGCAACAAGAACAUAAAAGGAAGCAAUUAACGGUUUUCUAAAUCAGUCCCAGCUUGUGCCGCCUGACUCCAAACCUAAAGGUGCAUUUAAGGGUACUAAGGGACCUGGCUAGGUAGUAGUUGUGUUUAUUUGUUUGUUUGUUUGUUUGUUUGUUUUCUAAUGAUACUGUUAAAUGUGUGUGUGAAACCACAGCCAAGAAGCCACAUUGUUCCAGAACCAGGCAGUAAAAUUGUAGGAGUGAGCACUGCAGACAGCAUGCCCAAUAUGGAGUACAGGGAAAUAUGGAGUAUGGGAGACAUGGAGAAACUGCGGUGAAUUCUGACAAUUACGUUGAACACAUUGGGAGUUUGCAGGAAGAUACACUGUGGGCUCUUUUGUAUUUUUAUGUAGAUUUAAAAACAAACAAAACCCCCCAAACCAGGCUGUUGAUGCAAUCAUAGCAUCUCAGA